CAAACCCAGAGCAGAAGCAAAGCCUCCAUUCACAUCCUGCUCUACCACCUGAGCUAAACACCAUUAUGAGUUCACACUGGAUGAAUAAACACAAUGAGUCCCGCCCACAGACUUUCUGACGAAUGCAGGUGGAGCGCGCCGAAAAGGGGCGGUCUCGCUCGUUUCCCGCGUGAAAUUAGUGGAUUUCCCUCCAAAACUGUAGAUGUGUAUUUAAAUAGCUGUUGGAUCGUCACUCUGGUUCCAGCGGCUCUACUCUGAGGACACGAAUACGGUGAACAGUGGGACUUGUCUUCAGCUUCAGGUGGAACAGCUCUGACCUGUAUGGUGAUCAGACCCGGAGAGGAGACACACCUGGUCCAACCAGGUAAUGGACAGUUGAAAGGACGAAUCACCAAGAUGAGCCAAUCAAUGGAGACGAGCCGCCACAGGAGCCUGAACCUGUACUUCACGAGGGGGAUCAAACAUGGCUGAUAUAUCUGCAGUUCACUGCUCGUUUCUCCAGAACGAGAGCAGCCAGGAGCUGAAAGUUGUGGGCAGA